CCAGCCUAACCCUAAUCACUCUUCUCCCAGGUCCUCGCCUACCAACCUUCAGCCGCCGCCACUCUACCUAUCCUCCUCGUGCCACUCCACCGGCGUCGGCGCUGAACCACCCCGCGCCGCUUCACCGAAGCCGGCGCUGAACCACCCCACGCCGGGCCGCUCCCCACCAUUCCCCUCCCCACCAUUCCCCUCCCCUCACCAUUCAGAUCUCCAUCAGUCCUACCCCUCGAGCCGAGGCGGCAGCGGUGGCAGCGGGACCAACGGCCGGACUUGGAAGUCCCCGAGGUCACCGGCGGCGGGGCCGUCAGCAGGAUUUGGAAGUCCCCGAGGUCACCGGCGGCGGGCACGGAUCCAGCUCCAUCCGACGGAGAGCCCAUGUCGGUUUCAUGGGGAUGGUUAGCUGCAAGGCGGAGCGGAACACAUACGUGUCCUUCACGCUCGACGACGGCACCGACUGCAUCGAUUUCAUCAGAUGAACUGCUUGUGUGUCCAUCUGUGACAAUGGCUGCUGGUCAGUUUGUCUAUUUCUUGCCUUCCUUGCUCCCUAGUGAUGUUCAUUAUACUAUCUCUUAGGAACCUCAAUUACUUAUUUCUGUCUACUCUGAGGUAUUUGUUCAGUUUCAAUCUGAAUCGCCUAACUUGGAGUGCAAUCCGCAUUGAGCUGGUAUAUCUCGAAUGUAUGCAACAGUAUUUAACUACUAGAUGUAAAUGUAAAAAAUGUUGAUAUAACUUCAAACAUUUUAAUUUUGGAAGACAAUGAUUACCCCAAUGCAAUUGGAGUUCAGUCAGUGUUUACUAUUGCUCACUUGUUAUACAGUGUACUGUCUAUCUAUGUUAGAACACUUGUUGGUUCCUUUAGGAAUGGUAAAUCUCACCAUGGACUCAUUGUUUGGGCAACAAAAAACACUUGUGUUUAUUAUUAGUAAUCUUAUGCCAAUUGACAAUUAUUACUGAGCAAACAGAAGUGAUGGCCGCAUUGUGAAGAGCACCUUAUAUAUGCGUCAGGUUUGGUCACCUCUGAAUGUUCAGACAGUUGUGGUGGUGUAUCCACAUCAGAUUUUUAUUAAAACCUGAAGUAAUAUUGUAUUUCUUUAAUGUGGUCAAUACUUUCAUGUAGUCUGGAACAUGAUGAGUCACUAUUGCGCAUGUUUCAGUAUGCCAAAGCUGAAAACAUGUGUGGCACAUCUUGCGAAAACUAUCUUACUUUUGGUUGUGUCGUGUGUGCUAUCUCUGCACCUGCACUUGCAUGCUAUUGGACAGCUUAAUCUUAUGCUAAUAACUAUGCAUUAUUACUAUAUGACAUGUAAAGUUAAUUUAAGAUGACCGAUCAUUUGGCUAGCUCCACACAUGUUACAGUGUUAUACUCUGUCACCUAGCUAGCUUGUCAUAUCAGGGUAAAUAUUUUGGUUUGGCAUGGCUAUCAUAAGCAGAUGAUGCUUUUGUAAUCCUUUUUCUUUUCUAUUGGUGGCGUGUCUAACAUUGCCAAUACCAUGAUGUGGUCUAUGUUCAUUCACAGUUCACCAUGAUGGCAGGGUGCGGCAACACGCUCCUUCAGGUUCUAGUAUGUUCGUAAUUUACCAAUGUAAAUGCUGAAAUCUAUUAAUUCAGUGUACCAUCGUUGUCUCAUAGGUCCUGAACAUGCUUAACUGGGAACUUAACUGGGAAGCUCAGAAUGCUAAUUCAUGUCAAUUGUAAACUAGCAUCCCUUUGUGAUUUAUGAACUUUGAGGUUGGCACUCAGCUGGAGAUUGAAGUUUUUAGCAGGAAUUACUUGGCCUCGAAUAACUACCUGGAAGCAUUAGUGGUGUAGUGUUGGAGAUUAAAUCCAGCUAGUAGUAUAUUUACUCGAAAUUUUUAAAAAUAAUGCUUAUAGUUCUUUCUAGAUAUGUGUGUGAUGUUUUGAUACAAAUAUUUGUUUUCAGAAAUCAGUCUAGAUUGUUGGAAGUUUGUAUUUUCUUACGACCAGAUGCUAUUGUGUGAAUGAAUUUGUCUUGUUGCAAA